GGGCGAAUGGUCUAGAGGUAUGAUAUUCGCUUUGCAUGCCCGAGUAACCUUUGAAUGCUCGGAACCAAGUGCCUGCGAAGGGUCCGGGGUUCAAUUCCCCGUUCGUCCA